rnacentral:rRNA from 1 species
UGCAGGUCUGCCCCCGGGCAGGCCUAACCUCCCACCCGUGAAUACCUGACCAACGUUGCUUCGGCGGUGCGCCCCCCCGGGGGUAGCCGCCGGAGACCACACCGAACCUCCUGUCUUUAGUGUUGUCUGAGCUUGAUAGCAAACCUAUUAAAACUUUCAACAAUGGAUCUCUUGGUUCCGGCAUCGAUGAAGAACGCAGCGAACUGCGAUAAGUAAUGUGAAUUGCAGAAUUCAGUGAAUCAUCGAGUCUUUGAACGCACAUUGCGCCCCCUGGCAUUCCGGGGGGCAUGCCUGUCCGAGCGUCAUUGCUGCCCUUCAAGCCCGGCUUGUGUGUUGGGUCGUCGUCCCCCCCGGGGGACGGGCCCGAAAGGCAGCGGCGGCACCGCGUCCGGUCCUCGAGCGUAUGGGGCUUUGUCACCCGCUCGAUUAGGGCCGGCCGGGCGCCAGCCGGCGUCUCCAACCUUCUAUUUUACCAGGUUGACCUCGGAUCAGGUAGGGAUACCCGCUG